rnacentral:tRNA from 1 species
GCUAGCGUAGCUCAGUCGGUAGAGCUCCCGCCUUGUAAGCGGAUGGUCGAGGGUUCGAAUCCCUCCGCUAGCUCCC